rnacentral:pre_miRNA from 1 species
UGAACUUUACCAUGAAAAAGCCUGUUAAUUGAAAUGCAGGGUUUUUCAUGGAGUUCG